rnacentral:rRNA from 1 species
GAUGAACGCUAGCGGCAGGCCUAACACAUGCAAGUCGAGGGGUAGAACACUUCGGUGUUUGAGACCGGCGCACGGGUGCGUAACGCGUAUGCAAUCUACCUUGUACAGGGGAAUAGCCCAGAGAAAUAUGGAUUAAUGCCCCAUAGUAUAUAACCUUCGCAUGUUGGUUAUAUUAAAGUUCCAACGGUACAAGAUGAGCAUGCGUCCCAUUAGUUAGUUGGUAAGGUAACGGCUUACCAAGACGAUGAUGGGUAGGGGUCCUGAGAGGGAGAUCCCCCACACUGGUACUGAGACACGGACCAGACUCCUACGGGAGGCAGCAGUGAGGAAUAUUGGUCAAUGGGCGCAAGCCUGGACCAGCCAUGCCGCGUGCAGGAAGACGGUCCUAUGGAUUGUAAACUGCUUUUAUACAGGAAGAAACAACUCUACGUGUAGAGUCUUGACGGUACUGUAGGAAUAAGGAUCGGCUAACUCCGUGCCAGCCGCCGCUGUAAAAC